CUUCGGAAAGUCCCUAAGUAAAUUGGCUUUAACAGUCAUUACUGUGCUCUCCCUUGAAGAACAAGUCUCCUCUCACAGGUUUUGAAGAAAACGGUGUCUGAUCUCUUUAGAACGAUCCCUGGUAAGAAAGUUAUAUGGCACUUCACAGCUUUAUUUGGAGCUCUUGCUACAACUGCACGAUCUCCUAGACCAGUUUUGCCAGUAUUCUACGACAGAAGAGACAAAAUGCAUAUUUGCUUAAUGAUCCUGUUUCUUCCUGAGAAAGUGAAGAAAAGACAUUCUCAUGGAGAGGAGGCAACAAAUGAUACCCAGAAGCUCCUCAAUAAAGUCUGCAUCUUUUGUGGAGCUACAGCAGGUGAGAAAGCAUGUGCAAGACUGAAGUAAGGGCACUACAUUGUCACAUCAUUGUAGUCCAUUGCCUUGUCUGUUAUGGCCUUCCAGAAGAGGAACAAAGACCAACUAAGGCAACCCCAAAGGCAAAUGCUUCCCCCUGUAUCUACACGAUGAAAUAAUGUUACAUGAUGCAAUUAAACUCUAAAAUAUGUGAAAAAAAUUGACAUCCAGGCACAUUGCAUUAGAGGAGCUUUGAGCUAACAUGCAUUUUUUAUGGAAGCUAUAAAAAGUCAUCUAUACCAUUUUGUUGUCUUGAAUGUUUUUUUCUGUAGUAAGCCCAAAGUCAAACCACUGUCUGCAUUUUAUUGUCCCUUCCAUUAACUUCCAUUAACUAGAGUGUAGCACUAGAUGACCAUAAUGACACACAACUAAUCAACAGCAGCUAUUAGUAUACUCCUUUAUUCCCCUGUCUUUAUGAAGGUUUUGCCAAAAUGUCAUUUCCAACCUUUGUUCUAAGGAAGCUCAUUGAAAACAAUUUGUCAAAAAUACAGUUAAAAAAAAAUAAAAAUUAAAACACUACAUGGUACCUUCACUGCAGCUUGCACUCUCCUCUCUUUCAGAGAUGUUAAAGAACAAAGCUCAGUAACGGUAUGGGUAGUAGUUUUCUACAGUUGAUACAGUUACAACUUAUUGUGUACUAUAGCUAUACAGAUGGGGAUUGUACACUCAUCUGGGAAGCACAUGUCAAACUUUCUGCAAAGUUUAACCUUCAGGUAAAAUAACAGAAGAUUCCUGCACAACUUCGGCUACCUCCAUAAACUUGUGAAGUUUCAUAAAAUCUGGUUGAUCUUUGCACAUCUCCAGCUCAGAGAGACUAUAAUGCUUCAUAGGAACUGCAGCAACUCAAGUUCUGACUGUUUAAUCCCCUGUUUAUGUCUCAAAGUAUAGCUUGUCCAGCGUUUCAGCUGAAGAUGAAGGUCGUUGGAAAAUGCCCUUCUUGUGUCAUUCCCAUUGUUUCAUCUCUUUUUCUAGAUGCCAUGCCAUAUGUGGCCUGGUGUUUCAUUUUUUCUUUCACUCAUUUCAUUUUUCUAUAUUUUUGUCUUGAAAAGCCUUUUAGUGUUCUGGUCUCUUUAUUGAGUGUUGCGUUUAUGCUAUACACUUACUUUUAAAGUGGCUCUGAGAGACAUCUUUCUCUUUACUAUGAGAAUUUUAUAAAGUAAUUUCCCCCUGAAAAUCAAUAAUGUUUUUGUUGUUGUUUUUUUUUUUUUCUUUCAUGUGCUGUCUAGUUUAGAACCCUCUGUCUUUUAACACUCCUUGCUUUCUGUGUCUCUAACAGAACUUGUGCUAAAAAUAUGAUACCUCCUAAUACAAGCACUACAUUGUCUCUAACUAUUGCUUCUAUUCCUUUUCCGCAUUUGUAAUAGUAUUUGUCUUCAGUAAAUUAUUUUGCUCUAGUCUUGGCAUUUUCUCAUAAUUUCAGUUGUCUCAUUUAUAGAUUUGGCCUGGUGUGACAGUAUGCUCCACCCCCUCUUACAUGACCUUUUCCCAUAGCCCUGCUCAAGCAAUAACCACCAGUGGCAGUCAUGAUGAAUGCAUCUGGUCAUGAUGGCUGCAUCCGUCUCAAAUGGGAUUUGGGGGAGAGAGAUAAGAACACAAUAGCCAAGGGCUAAUUUAUGGCAAUGUGUCUACCUAACCACAGUGUUGGUCAACAUCCAACUCAAGACAAAUUUGGAAGAAACUAAGAUCUGCAGUAUGUGUGCAAAUAUGGGUAUGAGUCAACCUUCUUACUCCACAAAUAGUGGACAGCCUAGGGCCCAUGGAGCUCUCCUACAUGAUAGUAGGCUGCAUGCCAGGGUCUCCCUUAAGUAGAGGAUGCCUCUCACAGUUACUCCUUGAGUUUGAGAGAAUCUUUAUCAAAUCAGAUACUUGGUAAGUGAAUUAGGAUAAGCACAUUGAAAUUUGAUAAUCUUAGCUGGGUAAUAUAAACGACUGAUUGCACAUAUACAAUCCUCCAGACAUAAACUCUUAAGCAAGUCUGGGACUAAGUUUGGAUACAGCUAAGUUUGAAUAUAGCUAAGUCUGGAUCCACAUGAACUACUGUCUGAGGAGGAGUUUAGAACAUAGGAGUUUAGAACACAAUCCUGUCUGAAUCUUAUGUUUCAAUAGGAGGGUCCCCCUAAUAAUUUUGUCUGAUCCUGUCCUCUGUGCAGUAAAUAAUCAAGUGUACAUUGCCAUCGAAUCUUGUUAAACCACUGUUGCAUCUACCAUUGAAAUUCAUUAACUUACUGUCUUAUAUCAAUAAAAUCUAUUGUUGCUUCUCUCUUACAAAUGAAGGGCAUCACUCUUUCGGCAACACAGGGUUAUGAGCAAGGCAUUAAUAGUCACUUAGAUGGAGUCUAAAGAAGCAAAAAGUUAUCACUAAUUAACAUGUUAUCACUACCACAGUGUCUGCCCAGCUGUGAGCUCUUGGCCUGUUUCAAAAACAAAUUGAUGAGAUUGGGCUAAUCCUCUUUCAUCAGUAGCUAAUUUUCUCUGAACACAUUUGCUUCAGGCCAUGAGUACUCUCAGGUAAUUGUGAGGGCUUAGAAGGUGCUGAGGAAUUGGUAACCAGCAUAACCUGAUCAGAGAGCCCUUCUGGUUCACCCUUUUCAUCCUGGGUGCAGGCUGGGGCACAAGCUGAAAAGUAUCACUGAGGGUAAGUAGCAGGAUAUUUGUCUCAUAUUCCAAUGCUCUCAGUAUCAAGCCAGAAUCCAUCAAGCUGGUCACUCACCAGGAGGAACAUCUGAACAGGUGCACUGGAUUUUUGUGUGGUCCAGCUUCUGAUCUCCUACAGGAAACAGUGAUGAGGUAUAACUAAAAGCAGCAAGGUAAGCAGAUAUAAAUCCAAUUCUAUCCUGGUAACCCCUAAUAAUCAACAGUCUAGAACUUUUAUGGAAGAGAAUUGGACCCAUAUCAGAAGGCACUCAAUAUACAUGAUAUUUUUUCCAUAGAUUUGCUAGAGUGCCACAUUUUCAUUGUUUACUCUACAGAAAUGUAUUUUCUUUUCUUGAAACCUGGUGACUGGCACAUCUUUUGGUGUCUGUUCACCAAGGCAGCAAAUAAUUCUUCCUUCUUUGUUAUCUCUGCUUAUUUUAUCACAUUCUCCCACAUGCUUAGCCCUUUAGCUCUUUUUAGUUUUUUUUUCUAACCAGAAAAUUCCUAGUCCAAGCCAGUGAAACUAAAACUACAAUGGUCUAAUUUUUGAGAGUCUCUGCAAGGCCUCAUCCCUUUUCUAACACAUUUACCUAUACCUUCUUGUUUACAUUACUUGCAUUUAUGUUCACAGCAGUCACUUUUUUUUCUUUAAAGAGAGAAACUCACCUACUUCUGAAAUCAGCUUGUUUCACAACAUGCCCAAAACAAAAGGUGACAUGUUUCCUGCCAUUAAGGUCCUCUCAUUUACAGGUACAGCUUAAUCUCACUGAGUCCAUGCAACGAACCUAGAACCCCACAGAGAAUGGUACAGGAGUCCUGUAUUAAAUCUGUAGAUCUUAUUUUACAGUAUUAUUUAAGGUACUCCCUUGAUUUUAUAGGGCCUGUUGCAAUAGGACAUGGGGUAAUGGUUUAAAACUUAUAGAGAGUAUAUUCAGCCUAAAUAUAAGGAAGAAACUUUCAUAAUGAGUGUGAUGAAACACUUGAACAGGUUACCCGGAGGGGCUAUAGAUUCCUUGUCCCUGGAAACAUUCAAGGUCAGAUUGGUGGGGCUUUGAGCAACCUGAUCUAGUUGAAGAUAUCCUUGCUCAUGGCAAGGGGGUUGGACUAGAUGACCUUUAAAGGUGCCUUCCAGCCCAAACCAUUCUAUGAUUUCUCCAUCACUGAGCGGUGAAAAUGCAGCCACUACUCAUUAGCUGGAUAGUUGGACGCUGGUUUAGCAUUGCAUCCAUGAAAAUAAAGGCAAAGUAUGCACACUAUCUGAAAAUAUUUAAUUUUAUUAAAUGCAUUCUGGCAAACACAAAUACUAUAGCAAAGUGCUUUGAUCAUGUAAUUGCAUUCCAAGUAUUAUACAGAUUGACCUUUUUGAUAAGUCAUCUUGACACUGAAGAGAGAAAUUCUUUGCAACUACAGAUAUGUAGUGUACUUCAAGAUGCAUUUAUGUUCAUGUUCUUUCCACAAAAAAUGCAUAGCUUUUCUGAAAUAGUCCUACUUUAAUCGCUAUGUGUUUAAGAUUAUAUCUCUGACCAGACAGAGUAUGGAUGUAUUUAAAAAAAAAAAAAAAUUUCUUUUAUUACAUACUGUAGUGAUUUUCAAAGUCAAUGCUUUAAGCAGGAGUAUAACCCCAAAAACUGAUCUUUUAAACAUGCUUGUGGAAAAAAAUCCAGUGUCAUUUUAUGUAUGUACAGUUGAAUUCAGUCUUUUAAUCAGUGAUUCUUUAAGUACUGCAUUCUCUGUAUUGUUUAACUGGUUCUUGGCUCAACAGAAUUAAAAAGUCAGGAUUUGGCAAAGACCUCUACAGUAAGAUUUAGAGAUUUUAAUUAUUUUUCUUAAUCUAGGCUAACAUCAAAAAGAAAGUUACUGUGUUUAUUUUGUUGUCUAGUAAAAAUGCAUUAAAUGGGGAUUUCUUAAUCUAUUCAUAACCUUAGGUCAUGACAAAUUAUUAUAGAAAAAAUACUUUUAUACUUAAAGUAAUAUCCUUCAUGUGUGAAACUAUUAUUUUUAAGGUUAUGAUAAUCAUGUAAUCUGAUGUUCUACACAAUAAACGUUGAAAUUUUUCACCAAGUACUUUCUGCAUCAAACUUUCAUCUAUCAGAAUGACAGAAUAUGUUUCACAGCACUUGAUUUCAACCUGGUAUUUGUUUACUCUUGAGAGCUGUAUGGGAGAAAACCAAAGUUAGGCUUAGUUUUCACAGAAGCACAGAAUGAUUGAGGUUGGCCUCUGGAGGUAGGCCAUCUGGUUCAUCCACCCUGCUCAAGCAAGUGCAUCU